rnacentral:lncRNA from 1 species
CUCUCUCUUUCUCCCUUCUCUUUGUCCGUCUGUCUCUCUCUCUGGUCGCUUUCCUCUCACAAAAUAAACACCUUUCUCUUGUUACUGUAUCUACCUGUCUCGAGCCGUACCUUUGUCAUUAACCUGUUGUAUUACCUUACUGUACUUGCAUGGUAAUCUUCACUGGCAGCAGAGGGGAUAUCCUGCAUGAAAAAGGACGAAAAAGGACGAAAGGGGACGAACAAAAGGACGAAAUGGACGAAAAAUGGACGAGAAAACCUACAGUUUCUCUUUCUAAUUUUUGAGUUGCUGUUGUAGCCACGAGUGAUGGAACUAUGGCUGACUUCCUACACCCAGUACAUCAUUCGUUUGAAGGAGGGACAACGCUCGGAGAGAAUUUCAGAUCAUCAUCAAUUUUUCAAGGGUGAACACGUAACUUAAGUGUUCUCCAAAAAAUUGUACUCAUAACACUUCCCUGGAGAGAUACGUAACUGUGUAUGUUGAUGCUUCGACAAUAAAAGAAAA